AUGGUGAUCAUAGCCCUCACAUCCAUCUUUGUAAAUGCAUCAUCUCCAAAGGCGUCCAUGAAAAAGGGGGGCUGGUACUGUCCUUCUAGGGGUUUUGUGAAACUUAAUGUUGACGCCUCCUUUCAUCAUGACAUGCUGAAGGGUACGGUGGAGAUAGUCUUGAGAGACGACAAAGUUUUAGCACUCAAAUUUGGCCUAAUACAGGCGCAAAGGGCGGGGUGUAAUCGCAUAAUCAUCAACUCAGAAAAUUCUGGAGGUGAUAGAGACCAUGCAGGACGGAGGACAAUCAGCGGGUGCGGCGGCGGCCAUUUUCGAGGACUGCUUUCACUAUGCAUGUGA
rnacentral:rRNA from 1 species